AGGAGGAACAACCACAGUGGCUGGGCCAGCUUUGGAGCCCAGGAUUCAGCUCCCACAGUAGCUACAGAGCUCUCAGCCUACUGGGCCAGGAGGCUCCGUGGUGGG
rnacentral:pre_miRNA from 1 species